UUACGGCCGUAUCACAUUGAAAGAUCGGUUCCCGUACGAUCACCGAAGUUAAGAGAUAUCGAGCUUGGUCAGUACUUAGAUGGGCGUCCGCUUGGGAAUAACAGGUACU